CUGGCCCAGGUUGCCCAGGGAAGCUGUGGCUGCCCCAUCCCUGGCAGUGUUGAAGGGCAGGUUGGAUGGGGCUUGGAGCAACCUGGGCUGGUGGGAGGUGUCCCUGCCCAUGGCAGGGGGUUGGAUCUGGAUGAUCUUGAAGGUCCCUUCCCACCCAAACCAGUCUGGGAUUCCAUGAUCUCCGAGCCUCCAGGAUGGGGGAAAAGCCCCCAGCCCAGAGCCACCCCACAGCCAGGGCCAGGACUCAGCACUGGAACAAACCCAAAGCGUUCUCCUGCCACAGAGCAGCUGAGAAACCCUAAAAGGCCCCCUGGCAGGAGUGGGGAAGGAGGUCCCACCCCGUGGAGUCCCUCCUGUCCCAGCAGGUGUGGGCAGGGAGAGGCACACAUCACUUUCCUGAUAAAUCCCAGCAGACAAAUAAACCUUUGGAGCUAUUGCAA